AUUCCCUACUCCUUACCCAUUAACCUAAAAGCGAGAGCUGUAUGUGCAGAGGCUGCAGAGUCAAACACCAGUCUGAGUUGCUUCGCUGGCUGAUUCUGAAAACACAGGGCAUUCCUCCUCCCUCGGGCAUCCGUAUUCCUGCCCACCCUGAC